rnacentral:rRNA from 1 species
AAUGAACGCUGGCGGUGUGCCUAACACAUGCAAGUCGAGCGAGAACAGCCUUCGGGCUUAGUACAGCGGCGGACGGGUGAGUAACGCGUAAGAAUCUACCUUUUAGUGAAGAAUACCUUCGGGAAACUGGAGUUAAUGCUGCAUAAGUUCCUUCGGGAAGAAAGAUGGCCUCUUUGCUGUCGCUAAAAGAUGAGCUUGCGUACUAUUAGCUAGUUGGUGGGGUAAAAGCCUACCAAGGCGAAGAUGGUUAGCCGGCCUGAGAGGGUGAACGGUCACAUUGGAACUGAGACACGGUCCAG